rnacentral:rRNA from 1 species
GACGAACGCUGGCGGCGUGCCUAAUACAUGCAAGUCGAGCGAAUCUUUGGGAGCUUGCUCCUAAAGGUUAGCGGCGGACGGGUGAGUAACACGUGGGCAACCUGCCUAUAAGACUGGGAUAACUUCGGGAAACCGGAGCUAAUACCGGAUGCUUGAUUGAACCGCAUGGUUCAAUCAUAAAAGGUGGCUUUUAGCUACCACUUGCAGAUGGACCCGCGGCGCAUUAGCUAGUUGGUGAGGUAACGGCUCACCAAGGCAACGAUGCGUAGCCGACCUGAGAGGGUGAUCGGCCACACUGGGACUGAGACACGGCCCAGACUCCUACGGGAGGCAG